UAGCCAUAUCACAUUGAAACAUCGGUUUCUGUACGAUCACUGAAGGUAAGCAACAUCAAGCCUGGUUAGUACCUAGAUGGGUGACCACUUUUGAAAACCAGGUGCUGUAAG